rnacentral:rRNA from 1 species
UACUGAGGUCUCAAGCGUUGUUCGGAUUCAUUGGGCGUAAAGGGUGCGUAGGCGGCGCGGUAAGUCGGGUGUGAAAUCUCGGAGCUUAACUCCGAAACUGCAUUCGAUACUGCCGUGCUUGAGGACUGGAGAGGAGACUGGAAUUUACGGUGUAGCGGUGAAAUGCGUAGAUAUCGUAAGGAAGACCAGUGGCGAAGGCGGGUCUCUGGACAGUUCCUGACGCUGAGGCACGAAGGCUAGGGGAGCAAACGGG